GUGCUUGCUUCAGCAGCACCUAUACUAAAAUUGGAACAAUACAGAGAAUAUUAGUAUGGCCCCUGCACAAGGAUGACAUGCAAAUACGUGAAGUAUAUUAUU